UACGGAGGGUCCGAGCGUUAUCCGGAAUCAUUGGGUUUAAAGGGUCCGUAGGCGGAUGAUUAAGUCAGAGGUGAAAGUUUGCAGCUUAACUGUAAAAUUGCCUUUGAUACUGGUUGUCUUGAGUUAUGAUGAAGUGGUUAGAAUAUGUAGUGUAGCGGUGAAAUGCAUAGAUAUUACAUAGAAUACCGAUUGCGAAGGCAGAUCACUAAUCAUAUACUGACGCUGAUGGACGAAAGCGUGGGUAGCGAACAGG
rnacentral:rRNA from 1 species